rnacentral:rRNA from 1 species
CACGUGGGGAACCUGCCCCAUAGUCUGGGAUACCACUUGGAAACAGGUGCUAAUACCGGAUAAGAAAGCGGAUCGCAUGAUCAGCUUUUAAAAGGCGGCGUAAGCUGUCGCUAUGGGAUGGCCCCGCGGUGCAUUAGCUAGUUGGUAGGGUAAAGGCUUACCAAGGCGAUGAUGCAUAGCCGAGUUGAGAGACUGAUCGGCCACAUUGGGACUGAGACACGGCCAAACUCCUACGGGAGGCAGCAGAG